GGCAGCAGUAGGGAAUCUUCCACAAUGGGCGCAAGCCUGAUGGAACAACACCGCGUGAGUGAAGAAGGGUUUCGGCUCGUAAAGCUCUGUUGUUGGAGAAGAACGUGCGUGAGAGUAACUGUUCACGCAGUGACGGUAUCCAACCAGAAAGUCACGGCUAACUACGUGCCAGCAGCCGCGGUAAUACGUAGGUGGCAAGCGUUAUCCGGAUUUAUUGGGCGUAAAGCGAGCGCAGGCGGUUGCUUAGGUCUGAUGUGAAAGCCUUCGGCUUAACCGAAGAAGUGCAUCGGAAACCGGGCGACUUGAGUGCAGAAGAGGACAGUGGAACUCCAUGUGUAGCGGUGGAAUGCGUAGAUAUAUGGAAGAACACCAGUGGCGAAGGCGGCUGUCUGGUCUGCAACUGACGCUGAGGCUCGAAAGCAUGGGUAGCGAACAGGAUUAGAUACCCUGGUAGUCCAUGCCGUAAACGAUGAGUACUAGGUGU
rnacentral:rRNA from 1 species